UUGGUGAACACUUGCGACUACUAGUUUCCC
rnacentral:piRNA from 1 species